UACAGAGGGUGCGAGCGUUAAUCGGAAUUACUGGGCGUAAAGCGCACGUAGUCGGCUUUGCAAGUCGGUUGUGGAAAUCCCCGGGCUACAACCGUGGGAACUGGACAUCCGAGACUGCAUUGCUAGAGUAUGGGAGAGGAAAGCGGAAUUUCUGGUGUAGCAGUGAAAUGCGUAGAUAUUCGGAAGAACACCAGUGGCGAAGGCGGCUCACUGGUCCGGUACUGACGCUGAGGUGCGAAAGCGUGGGGAGCAAACAGG
rnacentral:rRNA from 1 species